rnacentral:rRNA from 1 species
GAGUUUGAUCCUGGCUCAGAUUGAACGCUGGCGGCAUGCCUAACACAUGCAAGUCGAACGGUAACAGGAGCUAGCUUGCUAGCUUGCUGACGAGUGGCGGACGGGUGAGUAACACGUAGGAAUCUGCCUGGCAGCGGGGGAUAGCCCGGGGAAACUCGGAUUAAUACCGCAUACGCUCUACGGAGGAAAGUGGGCCUCUUCUUGAAAGCUCACACUGCCAGAUGAGCCUACGUCCGAUUAGCUAGUUGGUAGGGUAAAGGCCUACCAAGGCGACGAUCGGUAGCUGGUCUGAGAGGAUGAUCGCCACACCGGGACUGAGACACGGCCCGGACCCCUACGGGAGGCAGCAGUGGGGAAUAUUGGACAAUGGGCGAAAGCCUGAUCCAGCAAUGCCGCGUGUGUGAAGAAGGCCUGCGGGUUGUAAAGCACUUUUAUUGGGAAAGAAACGGCCUGGGCUAAUACCCCAUGGCAAUUGACGGUACCCAAUGAAUAAG